CGCGGUAUACUGACCGUGCGAAGGUAGCAUAAUAAUUAGUCUUUUAAUUGAAGACUGGAAUGAAUGGUCGGACAAGGAGAAAACUGUCUCAUAUAUAAAAAUUGAAGUUAACUUUUAAGUGAAAAGGCUUAAAUAAAUUUAAAGGACGACAAGACCCUAUAAAACUUUAUACAAUAAAAUUGACUUAUAAAUUAUAAGUAUAACAAAAGAAAAUUUGAAUUGUAUUUCGUUGGGGCGACGAAAGUAUAUAAGUAACUGCUUUUACAUCAAAACAAUAAUAUUUGAAAAAAAAUGACCCUCUAUAAAGAUUUAAAGAAAAAGUUACUUUAGGGAUAACAGCGUUAUUUUUUUUAAGAGUCCUUAUCGACAAAAAAGUUUGCGACCUCGAUGUUGAAUUAAAGUUCCAUUAUAAUGCAGCAAUUAUAAAGGUAGGUCUGUUCGAC
rnacentral:rRNA from 1 species